rnacentral:lncRNA from 1 species
GAAGUAUCAUGUUGACAAUUUGGGCGUUAUUAGUUCCUGGAUAAACUAAUUCUUGAACUUAUUUUUAUUGAAUUCUUAUAUCAAUGUCAUCAUCCUCAUGUUUAUAUUUUUGAAAGUCAUUUGUGGCCUGUAGUGCAUAGAUGGACUUGGUAUGAUUAUGACCAGGGAUAAUUCGGUAUAAUCAUGACCGUAAUAUUACAAAUGAUGUGAUAAAAGUCCUCAUUGGCUCGUAGUGCAUUGAUGGACAGUUGUUGGCAUGAUCAUGACCAUUGAAAAAUACACGAAUAUCCUUG